AGUGAACGCUGGCGGUAGGCCUAACACAUGCAAGUCGAACGGCAGCACAGUAAGAGCUUGCUCUUACGGGUGGCGAGUGGCGGACGAGUGAGGAAUACAUCGGAAUCUACUUUUUCGUGGGGGAGAACGUAGGGAAACUUACGCUAAUACCGCAUACGACCUACGGGUGAAAGCAGGGGAUCUUCGGACCUUGCGCGAUUGAAUGAGCCGAUGUCGGAUUAGCUAGUUGGCGGGGUAAAGGCCCACCAAGGCGACGAUCCGUAGCUGGUCUGAGAGGAUGAUCAGCCACACUGGAACUGAGACACGGUCCAGACUCCUACGGGAGGCAGCAGUGGGGAAUAUUGGACAAUGGGCGCAAGCCUGAUCCAGCCAUACCGCGUGGGUGAAGAAGGCCUUCGGGUUGUAAAGCCCUUUUGUUGGGAAAGAAAAGCAGCAGGUUAAUACCCCGCUGUUCUGACGGUACCCAAAGAAUAAGCACCGGCUAACUUCGUG
rnacentral:rRNA from 1 species